GUCCAUCUCAGCGCCGAUUUGAACACCAGCUUGCGGGCGCUCUAAAAAUGCCGCUAAAGCGAUGCCAGAGGCCCGCUUUA
rnacentral:ncRNA from 1 species